CUUUAGAUAUGCAGAAGGUUUACUAAUGGAUUGUAAUUUGUUUCAGAAGUUAUUUGCCUAUUUAUCACACUUUUAAUUCCUUUGAGGCCUUCCUUUCAGGUUUGUGCUCGUUCAGUGUGAACCUGAAUCUCAGAGCCAUAAGACUUGACAAUGUCGCGCGCAACCCACAAAAGUUUGCUUUCAUGCAUACACGACAAGGGUGACCUGCACGAAUUGACUCAGGUACGGACAAUAUCCCGGCCCAACGGAUAAAGUAUUUGAGCGAGGCCUCUCAGAGGUCGGCACCAAGCCAACCAUGUGCCCGGAAGCUCCACUUAAAGACUUCCCUUACACCUGCAGAAACAUUGAACACAGAUACUGCCCUUAUAAAUACAGGUUCUAUCGUUCGUUUACAUACCAUGUUAUUUUUUCUUCGCAUUACUUGAGUUAAGACUCAUUGAUUCUCUCUUUAAUCACACACUGACUUGAGUGUCAGAGUCUAUUUUGUAGGUACUCCUGCCGACGUUCAAGACCAAUACCACCACACUCAGAUGAAAUGCGAUCGACCUCCAUCGUAGAAUCCAAGAAGAACAACAGUCCUGAUUCUCGAAAGAAGAGAACCCCCCCCCCCUACUUGGGAUGUUACCACCAAAAACAUGUCUGCAUGAAGCAGAUUCUAAUUAAGAAGAUGCUGACACAAAAAUCUUCUUGUUAUAUUCUAUGACCCCAAGCAACAAAGAUUGAUAUUUUUUUCCUUAAGGGUGGGUCAUAUCUACUUGAGAGUUUGAGGGCCUCAUGUGCACUGCUACGAUCAUUGACGUAAAAGAGCUAAAGGCAUGUUAUGAUAAGGCUAAUAUUUGAUUGUCUCCUUUAAAAUAGUACCAAAUUAGGAAAACAAAAAGAAGGUUAAAAAUUGAAAAAUUGAUAAAGGAUCUUUGCAAAAGUGUCGGCGAUGACUCUAUGCUGACGGUUAAAUUGCCAUGGAAUAAAGCAAGAGCGUCCUAUUGUCCGCUUGAGGAUAAUAAUAAAAGAAGAGCAACAAACAAAGCCUUAACUUUGUGCAUCUUUAAUUACAUUUUCAUUAUAUCAUAUGUUUUUAUUGACCUUUCACCUUUGUGUACUUAAUCCAUUGCUCAAGUUGUUAAAGGGUCAAAAGAGAGAAAGAAGUUUAUACAUACAACAAAUAC